rnacentral:rRNA from 1 species
AGGCAAAUGAUAUGAGAGUUUGGUUGUAGCUGGCUCCUAAUUAAACUUGGGGGCAUGUGCACACCUUUCUCUUUCAUCCCAUACACACCUGUGCACCUGUGAGACAGAUGUUUUGUGGGGGGGAAGGAACUUUAUUGGACCUUCUACUCCCCCUUGACUUCUGUCUACUUAAUUCAUAUAAACUCAAUUUAUUUUAAAACGGAUGUAAUGGAUGUAACACAUCUAAUACUAAGUUUCAACAACGGAUCUCUUGGCUCUCGCAUCGAUGAAGAACGCAGCGAAAUGCGAUAAGUAAUGUGAAUUGCAGAAUUCAGUGAAUCAUCGAAUCUUUGAACGCACCUUGCGCUCCUUGGUAUUCCUUGGAGCAUGCCUGUUUGAGUAUCAUGAAAUCUUCAAAGUCAAACCUUUUGUUAAUUCAAUUGGUUCUGCUUUGGUAUUGGAGGAUUAUUGCAGCUUCACACCUGCUCCUCUUUGUGCAUUAGCUGGAUCUCAGUGUUAUGCUUGGUUCCACUCAGCGUGAUAAGUUAUCUAUCGCUGAGGACACCCUGUUAAAAAGGGGUGGCCAAGGUAAAUGCAGAUGAACCGCUUCUAAUAGUCCAUUGACUUGGACAAUAUCUAAUUUAUGAUCUGAUCUCAAAUCAGGUAGGACUACCCGCUGAACUUAAGCAUAUCAUAAAGCGGGAGGGAAUAAAAAACGGGGGGGAGGGGGCCCUUUUCUUCUUUUUCAUACACAACUGUGGCACGUGGAAAAAAAUUUUAUUGGGGGUGGGGAAGGGCUUUAUUUGUAUUAUCUCCCCCUCGAACUGUGCGUUCAAGCAAUCAAAGAACUUCUGGUAACGAGGUAGGGAUGGUAAAUGCUAUUUAAAGUUACACGGUGCUUUGCUGCUUCGCCUAAGAAAAUCA